AUUGAACGCUGGCGGCAGGCCUAACACAUGCAAGUCGAGCGGAGCGGCGGACGGGUGAGUAAUGCCUAGGAAUCUGCCUGGUAGUGGGGGAUAACGUCCGGAAACGGGCGCUAAUACCGCAUACUAUCAGAUCAGCCUAGGUCGGAUUAUCUAGUUGGUGGGGUAAAGGCCUACCAAGGCGUCGAUCCGUAACUGGUCUGAGAGGAUGACCGGUCAGACUGGAACUGAGACACGGUGCAUAAUCCUACGGGAGGAAGCGUUGGGGAAUAUUGGACAAUGGGCGAAAGCCUGAUCCAGCCAUGCCGCGUGUGUGAAGAAGGUCGUCGGAUUGUAAAGCACUUUAAGUUGGGAGGCGUUACCCGCAGAAGAAGCACCGGCUAACUCCGUGCCAGCAGCCGCGGUAAUAC
rnacentral:rRNA from 1 species